GCCCUAAUAGCUUAUUUUAAAGCAUUGACCUUGUAAGCCAAAGAUUGCAAUUUUAACAUUGCUUAGGGCA
rnacentral:tRNA from 1 species